rnacentral:rRNA from 1 species
UACAGAGGUCCCGAGCGUUGUUCGGAGUUACUGGGCGUAAAGCGUGCGUAGGCGGUUUUGUAAGUUUGGUGUGAAAUCUCCCGGCUCAACUGGGAGGGUGCGCCGAAAACUGCAAGGCUGGAGUGUGGGAGAGGUAGGCGGAAUUCCUGGUGUAGCGGUGAAAUGCGUAGAUAUCAGGAGGAACACCUGUGGUGUAGACGGCUUACUGGACCAUGACUGACGCUGAGGCACGAAAGCGUGGGGAGCAAACAGG